AUGUGGGAGAACCUAGGAAACAGAAACCAAGGGAGCAGAAAGGUUCAAGAAGGAGCAAGUGCUUGCUGCUUCCAAGAGAUGACAAAAUAAUGGCUCAAAGAUGACCACUGCAGUGAGGAACCUUAACAUCAAUCACCUCAGGGGAGCACUUUGAGGCCACUGUGGACAUGUUUCAGAGACACAGUGAAAUGGUACAAUCGUCCAUAUUCUUAGGCAUUUCUUCCCAGACUGAACACAUGUUUAGGCCCACAGUACAAUCAGGUCGAAUCUAACAUUCUGUGAGACUGUUCAUACCAAAGAGGAAUAAAAUUCCUGUGUCUUGACUAAAAACCCCACAG
rnacentral:lncRNA from 1 species